GGAGGGAGCGAACGUUGUUCGGAUUUACUGGGCGUAAAGGGCGUGUAGGCGGCUUGGCAAGUCAGAGGUGAAAUGUCCCGGCUCAACCGGGGACCUGCCUUUGAAACUGCCGAGCUUGAGGCCGUGAGAGGAGACUGGAAUUCCUAGUGUAGCGGUGAAAUGCAUAGAUAUUAGGAAGAACACCAGUGGCGAAGGCGAGUUUUCUGGCACGGUUCUGACGCUGGGGCGCGAAAGCUAGGGGAGCGAACGGGGAUUAGAUACCCCGGUAGUCCUAGCCGUAAACGAUGGGUACUAAGUGUCGGCCCGAUCGACCCCGGUCGGUGCUGUAGCUAACGCGUUAAGUACCCCGCCUGGGGAGUACGACCGCAAGGUUG
rnacentral:rRNA from 1 species